AAAGUCGUAACAAGGUAACCGUAGGUGAACCUGCGGUUGGAUCAUUAAUGAAAUUUGGGUUGAGUGGCUGUUGCCCUCGAUCGUCAACACCUUGUGAAUUGUAAUUGUAUUUGGCAAGUGAUGCAGCAGUUCGCUGCAGAAUUUCGCCCCCCUCCCCUCUUGAGAGGGUUGGGGGGGAAAGCUUGUCCCUGUAUCUAGACAAUAUUAUAUAUUUUAAUCCUGAACAAUAAAUCAGCAAAAUACUGAAACAACUUUUGGCAACGGAUCUCUUGGCUCUC
rnacentral:misc_RNA from 1 species